AAUGAGGGGGAAAAACUUCAAGAUAUCAGCCCUAAAAAUCGGCAGCACAUAUCGGCCAUCGGCUGACCCUGACCUCUAAACAUCGGCAUCGGCUAUAGAAAAACCCAUAUCGGUCGAUCUCUACUCUGAACAGCGGUCUUGUGAACAUGGGCCUCAGUACAAUAAAGAGGACACUUCACACCCUACAACCCCGUAAAAAUAACCCAGAUUCGUCAGAACUACACACCCAUCUGAGGCCUACUGUACCUGUUUUAUUCAUGAUCACCGCAGAUACUUCUACAAUUGACCCGCUUUGCAUGGUCUGAUGAACUGUUCUUGAUCCAGAGCUCUUAGCUGAACACAAUGAACCAUGCUGUAGAACACCUGGAGUGACGUCGCUGCUCAGGGUGUCUGAUAUUGAUGCAGUCUGGGCACUAGUAUCUGUUGGCUUGCUGACUAUCACUGAAGAUGAAGUACUUCUCCAAAUCUUCUCUGCCUUGACCCUGUGUCUUCUGCCAUCAUUGUUCAGUGUAGUACUGCAAAGAACCGUCUCCAGGGUCUACCUCGCACAUUUGCUUCCGGACCGCCAUGUGCUACGUUUGGAUUACUGGUACAUGAAGAUUACCCUGAUACUGUGAAGAACACUUACAAUAUGAUGCUUGACUUGGGACA